CUUGGCGACCAUAGCGUUUUGGACCCACCUGAUCCCAUUCCGAACUCAGAAGUGAAACGAAACAGCGUCGAUGGUAGUGUGG
rnacentral:rRNA from 1 species